UACGUAGGGUGCGAGCGUUGUCCGGAAUUAUUGGGCGUAAAGAGCUCGUAGGCGGUCUGUCGCGUCUGCUGUGAAAACCCGAGGCUCAACCUCGGGCUUGCAGUGGGUACGGGCAGACUAGAGUGCGGUAGGGGAGAACGGAAUUCCUGGUGUAGCGGUGGAAUGCGCAGAUAUCAGGAGGAACACCGAUGGCGAAGGCAGUUCUCUGGGCCGUAACUGACGCUGAGGAGCGAAAGCGUGGGGAGCAAACAGGAUUAGAAACC
rnacentral:rRNA from 1 species